GACGAACGCUGGCGGCGUGCUUAACACAUGCAAGUCGAACGGAAAGGCCCUGCUUUUGUGGGGUGCUCGAGUGGCGAACGGGUGAGUAACACGUGAGUAACCUGCCCUUGACUUUGGGAUAACUUCAGGAAACUGGGGCUAAUACCGGAUAGGAGCUCCUGCUGCAUGGUGGGGGUUGGAAAGUUUCGGCGGUUGGGGAUGGACUCGCGGCUUAUCAGCUUGUUGGUGGGGUAGUGGCUUACCAAGGCUUUGACGGGUAGCCGGCCUGAGAGGGUGACCGGCCACAUUGGGACUGAGAUACGGCCCAGACUCCUACGGGAGACAGCAGUGGGGAAUAUUGCACAAUGGGCGGAAGCCUGAUGCAGCAACGCCGCGUGCGGGAUGACGGCCUUCGGGUUGUAAACCGCUUUCGCCUGUGACGAAGCGUGAGUGACGGUAAUGGGUAAAGAAGCACCGGCUAACUACGUGCCAGCAGCCGCGGUGAUACGUAGGGUGCGAGCGUUGUCCGGAUUUAUUGGGCGUAAAGGGCUCGUAGGUGGUUGAUCGCGUCGGAAGUGUAAUCUUGGGGCUUAACCCUGAGCGUGCUUUCGAUACGGGUUGACUUGAGGAAGGUAGGGGAGAAUGGAGUUCCUGGUGGAGCGGUGGAAUGCGCAGAUAUCAGGAGGAACACCAGUGGCGAAGGCGGUUCUCUGGGCCUUUCCUGACGCUGAGGAGCGAAAGCGUGGGGAGCGAACAGGCUUAGAUACCCUGGUAGUCCACGCUGUAAACGGUGGGUACUAGGUGUGGGGUCCAUUCCACGGGUUCCGUGCCGUAGCUAACGCUUUAAGUACCCCGCCUGGGGAGUACGGCCGCAAGGCUAAAACUCAAAGGAAUUGACGGGGCCCCGCACAAGCGGCGGAGCAUGCGGAUUAAUUCGAUGCAACGCGUAGAACCUUACCUGGGUUUGACAUGGAUCGGGAGUGCUCAGAGAUGGGUGUGCCUCUUUUGGGGUCGGUUCACAGGUGGUGCAUGGCUGUCGUCAGCUCGUGUCGUGAGAUGUUGGGUUAAGUCCCGCAACGAGCGCAACCCUUGUUCACUGUUGCCAGCACGUUAUGGUGGGGACUCAGUGGAGACCGCCGGGGUCAACUCGGAGGAAGGUGGGGAUGACGUCAAGUCAUCAUGCCCCUUAUGUCCAGGGCUUCACGCAUGCUACAAUGGCUGGUACAGAGAGUGGCGAGCCUGUGAGGGUGAGCGAAUCUCGGAAAGCCGGUCUCAGUUCGGAUUGGGGUCUGCAACUCGACCUCAUGAAGUCGGAGUCGCUAGUAAUCGCAGAUCAGCAACGCUGCGGUGAAUACGUUCCCGGGGCU
rnacentral:rRNA from 1 species